GCCAGCAGGGCACGGCUUUCUGCCAGGGCACUGUGGGAGUUUCCCAGCCCAGCGGCACAUCACUGUGCUGAAAAUUGGAAAUUGGUCCCCCAUUGUGACAUUCCCCAGAAGCUGAAUGGGUGCUGGCCCAGCCAAAGCCUGCAAGGUCUGACCAGCACAAGGAUGUACAAGAAGCUCCACAGCUCAUAGCACCAACACUGCUGUAGAAACCAUCACUGAAUAAAAGGAAUUUUCAAAACCGUUA